AAUCUACCCUUAAGAUGGGGAUAGCUGCUAGAAAUAGCAGGUAAUACCGAAUACACUCGAUAUUUCAUAAGAAGUGUUGAGGAAAGGAGGCUGCGGCCUCGCUUGAGGAUGAGCUUGCGUCCCAUUAGCUAGUUGGUGAGGUAAAGGCCCACCAAGGCGACGAUGGGUAUCCGGCCUGAGAGGGUGAACGGACACAUUGGGACUGAGAUACGGCCCAAACUCCUACGGGAGGCAGCAGCUAAGAAUAUUCCGCAAUGGACGGAAGUCUGACGGAGCGACGCCGCGUGGAUGAAGAAGGCUGAAAAGUUGUAAAAUCCUUUUGUUGAUGAAGAAUAAGGGGAAGAGGGAAUGCUUCUCUGAUGACGGUAAUCGACGAAUAAGCCCCGGCUAAUUACGUGCCAGCAGCCGCGGUAACACGUAAGGGGCGAGCGUUGUUCGGAAUUAUUGGGCGUAAAGGGCAUGUAAGCGGUUAUGUAAGCCUGAUGUGAAAUCCCGGGGCUUAACCCCGGGAAUAGCAUUGGGUACUGUAUAACUUGAAUUAC
rnacentral:rRNA from 1 species